ACAUCAGACUCCACCUCCCCGGUCCGGUUCUUCCUCCUGAUUUGUCCAAGUUGAACCUUCCCAGGCAUUUGUGAUUGGCAGGAGCUCCACCGGACCGGACAGGACAGGACAGGAGUAGGAACCAGAAACAGCAGAGGAACAGAGUGAAGAACAAAGGGUAAACCGACUAUGAACUAUGCUGCAAGAAAUGAGAGCAGCUCCUUCCCGAGUGGGAUGGCGUGUUAGCAUCCUAACAGUGUUGAAGGGACAGCGUCACCCCUUUUGUUGUGGAAAGCCGAGGAGCACAUGGCCACAGGGCAGGGAGGCUGAAGCGCGGCAAAACCAGAAGCCAAUCGGCGUGGCGGCAAGACCUCCUCACCAUCCAAGAGAAACAGGGAGAGUGUGAUGGGGUGCUGUGCCUUCAUAGAGGUAAUUCAUUCAGUUGGCAAAUAAACUCAUGCUUCUCUUUCUUCUUCCCAGAGCGUCUGGAGGUAAGUGAUGACAAUGAGGAUGACUACAACACUCACUGAACCUGUUGUGUCCUGUCAACUUCCUGGGCAAUACCACAUCUCAGCUUCUUGAGGUCUGGGGCUGCAUACUCCAAGAGCACAAUGCAGAAGAAUUUGCACCUACUCUCCCUUUUCCCUUAACCACUUUUAUUUAAUAAAAGAGCACUUUUCCACUACCCUCAUCUCCAGCGUGCCUGUGUUCAGGCUUCACAGCAUUGAGUCACUACAACGUAUUUAGCGCUUUUCACUUGGGCAAAUAGGUAAUGAGUGUAACUAUGAGGUAAGCAGUGUUAAAAUAUAGAUACAGGAAUUGUGAUUAGAGCAGACCUAGUCUCUAUAGAUGUCCUGAGUUGUUCAUAAAAAGAUACAGGGAAUGCAUGUGCUUUUUAAAAAUAAAUUGAUGACGUAUUCUCUGGGCAGACACUUUCUCCUUUCUGCCAUCCUCAUAGGAACACAUUGUACUAUUACCUGAGAUGCUGGCUAUUGUGGUGUCCAGGCUGAUCCAGUUACACUGCUUGCUGUGUGCAUUUAUGGUUACUAUCCAGAUACCAACAUUCAUCUUAAAUAAUGGCCUACCUGUGCUAACAUGCAUGUUUCAAUAACCAUAUGCAAUAUAGUAAGGUUAACUACAAAAAAAUUCAAUAUAUAUUUUAGAUGGAUGGAUGGAUGGAUAUAUAUAAUGGUAAUUGGAUGGAUAUAUAUAUAUAUAUAUGUUAUUAUUCAUCUAUCUAUUACUUUUUUAUGUUCAUUUCAUCAUUUACAGUAUGCAGGGUAUGUUUAAAGAUAAGCUGUAUAAUUGCCUUAUCUGUUAUAUGGCCAUGACAUUUUGCUCUGUGUAAUACGUGUCGUUCGAAGAUUGGUUCAUUGGUUUGUUUUUUGAGAAUGUAAUGCUCAUCUCCAAGGUGCAGAUAAUCUGCCUGAGCAAGGGCUGGUAUUAUUUCCCCAGCAGCACAAAUGGUCCAUGGGCAAACAUCUCAUGUCUCAAGGACAAAAUGGAAUAAUGCUACAGCAGCACUUUUAUGUCAGCACACACACACACACACACACACACACACAUGCACACACACACACAUGCGCGCGCACACACACACACACACACACACACACACACACACACACACACACACACACUGUUUCCGGACAGAGCUGAUCAAGUGUCUGGCAGUGAUGAUAAAUGAGUUAAGCAUUUUGCCCUGAUAUCAGUGUGUGAGAGCUUUUGAGUCAUGUAGGAAGUUCCAAAAAUAGCACGGUGUGUGAUGUCAUUGUGACUGCUCAGCAGUAUUUAUAAUGCUGGGGAGGAAUAUAAUGGAAUAUAAUGUUGUAUAAACGUAUGAAACUAAUGGAUGUUCCAUUUGUUCUUACAGUGAAAAAUAAUAUUUAGCUAUUUGAGUAUGUUCGCUGAGGGGCAAUAAGUAUUCAAACACUUUUAUUUUCUUAAUUUUGUUAUCUAUUUAUGCAUCCAGUGUCUGC